ACUUUAUUGGUAUGCGAAACUUCCGGAAUCCGUAUUCCGGCAAGAUUUUGGAAGCGCGCAAGCGCUAUUUUUUUUUUGUCAUGUGUGAGUGUGCGCCCCCCCUCCUCCACCGGGGGGGGUCUUCCCACGCGCGCGGUGGUCUCUUUUUCCCUUGCUGCUGGGCCGGGGGGGCGCGCCGCUGCGGGUGUUCUCCUCUUGUCGGCGCCCCCUCGGGCCUGCCUGGCCUCCUUGCAAGGGGCCCUGCAUGCGCACCCGGCACCCCGCGCACGGUGGCCGGGACCCCCCUAUCCCCCCCCCCCCUUGGUCCGGCGCACGCCUGACACGCGGUUAAAGCAUGCCAAAAAAGCCACCCCCCUCAGACCCACUUGGCAUGUGUAAACUUUUAACUAACGCUAUAUAAGUAUCAGUUUCUGU
rnacentral:misc_RNA from 1 species